rnacentral:rRNA from 1 species
AGUGAACGCUGGCGGUAGGCCUAACACAUGCAAGUCGAACGGCAGCACAGUAAGAGCUUGCUCUUACGGGUGGCGAGUGGCGGACGGGUGAGGAAUACAUCGGAAUCUACUUUUUCGUGGGGGAUAACGUAGGGAAACUUACGCUAAUACCGCAUACGACCUACGGGUGGAAGCAGGGGAUCUUCGGACCUUGCGCGAUUGAAUGAGCCGAUGUCGGAUUAGCUAGUUGGCGGGGUAAAGGCCCACCAAGGCGACGAUCCGUAGCUGGUCUGAGAGGAUGAUCAGCCACACUGGAACUGAGACACGGUCCAGACUCCUACGGGAGGCAGCAGUGGGGAAUAUUGGACAAUGGGCGCAAGCCUGAUCCAGCCAUACCGCGUGGGUGAAGAAGGCCUUCGGGUUGUAAAGCCCUUUUGUUGGGAAAGAAAAGCAGCAGGUUAAUACCCCGCUGUUCUGACGGUACCCAAAGAAUAGGCACCGGCUAACUUCGUG